UAGAAUUGACGGGGCCCGCACAAGCGGUGGAGCAUGUGGUUAAUUCGAUGCAACGCGAAGAACCUUACCUGGGCUUGACAUCCCGGGAAUCCCUUGGAAACAAGGGAGUGCCCUUCGGGGAACCUGGAGACAGGUGCUGCAUGGCUGUCGUCAGCUCGUGUCGUGAGAUGUAGGGUUAAGUCCCGCAACGAGCGCAACCCUUGUCUUUAAUUGCCAGCAUUCAGUUGGGCACUCUAAAGGGACUGCCGGUGUCAAACCGGAGGAAGGUGGGAUGACGUCAAGUCCUCAUGGCCUUUAUGUCUAGGGCUACACACGUACUACAAUGGCAGGUACAAAGGGCAGCGACACAGCGAUGUGAUGCGAAUCCCGAAAAGCCUGUCUCAGUCCGGAUCGGAGUCUGCAACUCGACUCCGUGAAGUUGGAAUCGCUAGUAAUCGUGGAUCAGCAUGCCACGGUCGAAUACGUUCCGGCCUU
rnacentral:rRNA from 1 species